CACACGAGCACCAUCCAGGCACCCACCUCCACCCCCUUGUUGACUUGAUUAAGCAGCCCAAGAUUGCAUCGGCUCACACCAUUGGCUCAACCAAAGGUGGGGGCGGGACUAUUUGUUUGUCCAAACAAUGGAAAUGUUGGCCGAAACAUUGAAGGAGGGACCCAUACUCAACUGUGUGGUUAGUUU
ensembl:lncRNA